rnacentral:rRNA from 1 species
AUUUUAAAUGGCCGCAGUAUUUUGACUGUGCAAAGGUAGCAUAAUCAUUAGUCUUUUAAUUGGAGGCUGGUAUGAAUGGUUGGACGAGGUAUAAGCUGUUUCAUAUGAAUUUAUUAUAGAACUUUAUAUUUUAGUUAAAAAGCUAAAAUUUUAUUAAAAGACGAGAAGACCCUAUAAAUCUUUAUAUUUAGCGUUGUUUAAGUUUUUUAGAUUUAUUUUAUUUUUACAAUGUUAAAUAUUUUGUUGGGGUGAUGUUAAAAUUUAAUGAACUUUUAAUUAUUUAAAAUCAUUAAUUUAUGAAUUAUUGAUCCAUUAAUAUUGAUUAUAAGAUUAAGUUACUUUAGGGAUAACAGCGUAAUUUUUUUUGAGAGUUCAUAUCGACAAAAAAGUUUGCGACCUCGAUGUUGGAUUAAGGUAUAAUUUUGGGUGUAGCUGUUCAAAUAUUAAGUCUGUUCGACUUUUAAAUCCUUACAUGAUC